GACAGAGGCCCCAAGCGUUAGGCGGAAUCACUGGGCUUAAAGCGUGUGUAGGCGGAUCGUUAAGUGUCUUGUGAAAUCCCACGGCUCACCCGUGGAACUGCUGGGCAUACUGGCGAUCUUGGGCCAACUAGGGGCAGCCGGAACAAGCGGUGGAGCGGUGAAAUGCGUAGAUAUCGCUUGGAGCGCCAAAGGUGAAAACAGGCUGCUGGGGUUGUGCCGACGCUGAGACACGAAAGCCAGGGGAGCAAACGGG
rnacentral:rRNA from 1 species